rnacentral:rRNA from 1 species
GUGAACGCUGGUAACGUGGAUACCGGCAUGCAAGUCGAGCGGCUCCGCAAGGAGCAGCGGCGAACGGCUUAGUAACACGUGGGUACAUACCCUAAACUGGAGGACAGCUCGUCGAAAGACGGGGUAAUACUCCAUAGUCUCGCAAGAGUAAAGUCGCAAGACGGUUUAGGAAUGGCCUGCGGCCUAUCAGAUAGUUGGCGAGGUAAUAGCUCACCAAGUCUAUGACGGGUAGGGGGCGUGAGAGCGCGACCCCCAAGAAUGGCACUGCGAUACGGGCCAUACUCCUACGGGAGGCUGCAGUCGAGAAUCUUCCGCAAUGGACGAAAGUCUGACGGAGCGACGUUACGUGAAUGAUGAAGCCCUUCGGGGUGUAAAGUUCUUUUCUCUGGGAGGAAGCCGCAAGGCAGACAGUACCAGAGGAAUAAGAGGAUCCUAAUUCUGU